CAUAGUGUCUAAAGCGCUUGGGCUUUUAAUUGAUUAUUUUUUACAACGGCCAAGCUUGCCAUUGGAGAAUUCUUUGAAUUUUCAAACAAAGCCCAAUGCCACAGAAACCCUGCAGAGUCCCUGAAUAAAGCAAUAUUAUACCCCGAAGAAAACAUUUGAUUUCAGGAGCAGCCGUGCUAACAUUCAUCAACAACAUCCUUCACUGCCCCCAGUAGAUGCACAUAAGUGGACUCCUGGUGGACAAGAUUGUCAUGUUCCACAAACUUCUAGUUCUCUCUACACAAGUAUCAAGUUCUCAGACUGCACUUACUGACCAGAGUCAGAGAGCCCACAAAUAAGUCAAAUUAUCAGAAGGCAGUAGCUCUGUACCGGAACCACAGGAGAAGAUAAACAGCCUUUAUGUGCCAACCUGGUUUCCUUAAUACCUUCCAUCUAAAGGAUCUGUGUGCCAAAAUCGGGGAGAUUAUGAUGGCAGGGUAGAAUCAUCUAAGUCACCUUUGCCCCCUGAACACUGUGCAUUGUCUACAGUUGAAUUGCCAACCUUUUAAUCCAAGCUUUUUGAGUGCUUUUCGUGAACAAAAAUAAUAAUAAUGAUAAUGCGUUAAAAGAAUAGCUUCCUAUCCGAACACAUCUUCAGAUCACCGCUGGGUGACCCUUUCAUUCUUCUUGGUGCAGCAGCCCAUAAACAUGAAGGGACAGUAGACAUCUAACAUGCUAGAAAAACGUCUUUAAUCCAACAUGCUGUGACACUAAUGGAAUACAUCUCAGACAUGGUAAUAUUAAACUAUUUGCUUUAACUCUUCCCGUUGCUGGCAAUCGCACUGUGACAAGUGUCAUCUUCAACAAGAAGAUAACCUUAAACAUUCCAUUUUGGCAUAAAUAUCUUUUACUAGCAAUAAGUAAUCCAAGAAAAACAAGUGCUUCUACAUAGAUUUCCCUUGCAUACACUGACCUAAAGUAAGGAGACCACAAAGACUGACUUAUUAACAAGAUGUUUUGAAGCCAAUACUCAGGAGUGCCUACCCUUCUGAUUUCCAUUUGUAAAUAUUUUCUUUUUUUCUCUGCUUAUAAUGAAAUUUGGAGCGAGUGAGACUUUUGAUUGGCUUUCGCAGGGUUUUUGGUGGCAGGGAGGCAGAAGUUUCCUCAAUCAGGUGUGAGGAUCUGACAUUUGCUCCUAAUUUAUGUAGAGUGUGUAAUAAAAUGUUUGAUGUAGGACUUAUGUAUACAUUUGCACUAUCUAUUCUAUCGGUAUUUCAUUAGUAUUCAAAGACUAAAAGGGUUUGAUCUCUCUUCCUGUAUGGAAGAUGGGAAUGGGACCCUUUGAAAUCCAGCUAACAGAGUGUUUCUUAUUGUCACCUGAGAUCUGUGACAAAAACAUUCCAGAACGUGUUUCCAAAGGGAUUGUAGUCAGGCCAAGGAAAACAGUUGGCGGCAACUCGCUAAAUUGAGACAAGUCUAAACAAACAAAAAGCUAAGACACAAAGCCAAACAUUUCAGGAACCAAGAAGAUUCAAUGAGAGAAAAGAUUUAAAGUAGAAGAAAGUGGGUGACCCAAGUGAAUUCUCUUAUUUAGGAUUCUGACCCUUACUCUUGCUUUUUUAGGACACCUAUGGCUCUUGGGCUGGGUGUGUUUGAAGGGGCCAGUUCCGAGUGUACCAUGACUGUCUUCCGUAUGUAGGCUUUGUUAUUUUUACAUGGGGACCCAAACAUCUCAGAGAACACUGCAUUUGGAGAUAGUUUUCAUCCCAUGGAGAGCCUAGAGUAUAAUAAUUUGGAUCAAGAAAGACAGAUAAGUUUUUGGGUAGAUCACAUGAAAAAAGCAUAUGAAAAAAUUUGAAAAUCUUAAGGGGGACUUUCAACAACAUGGAAGACUGAGAGGACAAGGAUGCAAAUUCAAGUGCUGGAAAAAAGAUUUCUCUACCAAUUAUUUAGUACAUAGCUCAAAAAAUGAAAAGGAAAUCCAAAGUGGCAGAAGUUAAGAAAGAAUCCAAAACCAGAACGAGCAAUCAGGAUCUCCAGGGAAAAAUAGGCUCUGCAGAAGAUGAGUUCACAAAUUAAAAAAUUACAAACCACACGAGGAAAUGAAUCACCAUGAAGGAGAGUCAAGACAUAAAAACAAAUGAAAACUAGCUACCCAGGUUUUGAGCAUAACACAUUUGAGACGAUGUAGAUUUUUUAAGAAUUGAAUAGAACUUCUGAAAAUGAA